AAAGAGCAGGCUGCCGUGCUUGGUGUCCUAUGCCAGGACAGCCAGCAGUAUUCCAGGUGCUCCGUCAGUGUGGGGCUGGAAUGGAGGAUUGUGAGACUCCAUGGAACCUACAGUGAAAGACUGCAGCAUGACCCAAAACUCAGACUAGGAAAUGCAUGAUGGAAAUGGGAGGGUCUUUGGUGAAAGGAGACAAUCUAGCUUAUUAUCAUGGCUACUUUUCUCGUAGCUGAGACACAGUGCCCUACCCGCAGCUCUGAAGAGGAGAGGUUGAUUUGGGCUCACAGUCUGUAGAGGUUUCAGUCCAUAAGCUGCUAGGUCUAAAGGCGGGGCAGCCUGGCAGAGGUAACAGAGCUCCUGGCCUGGUGGUGGCAAGCAGAGAUCAAGGGAAGAGGAAGGGCGAUAGACACCCGGUCCCCAGCGGCCACCUCCUCCAGCCAGGCUUCACCUCCCAACUCCUGAGGAGACUCAUCCACUGGUUGUCCCUAGAGGCUUCAGAAGCAGCAUGGGCUGUUGACACCUUGAUUUCAGAUUUCAAGCUCCAAAAUUCUGAGCCGAUACAACUCUGCAGUUUGGAACAGUGCAUAACAUGUGGCAACUAAUGGAGUCGAGGAGAUUGCACACGGGAGACAGUCUAGGUCACGGUCACAGUCAUGAACAACUCUGACCUCGCCAGGGACCGAGGGCUGCCUUGGCAGUACAUAUUCCAGUGAAAAAAGUGGAAGAUACCUUCUCUUCCUCUGAGAUGUCUCCCAGAGAGUGCGAAGCUGAACUUGGCUCCCAUCUCCUCUUUGAAAUGUAUCUUCAAACAGGAAACUCCUUGGGUCCUCCACACCCUAAAAAAGGUAUUCUGUGACCUUCUAUACCCACAUCAGACUCACCUAUGUUCUGGAAGACAAUAAACAAUGUUUACACAUAAAUAAAUCAAUAAAUUACAAAACUAUGCCUUUAACAGUCUAUCCCUUCUUUGAAAAAUGUACCAAAAAAGGCAGCUCUGGCUGUCAGAGGGGCAGCUUUCCAUACUGUUGUACAGAAUACACUAGUACCUGUAGUGACAGCUCUCCCAACCACCAGAUUCAUCUUUCCUGACA